CCUACGGGAGGCAGCAGUGGGGAAUUUUGGACAAUGGGCGAAAGCCUGAUCCAGCAAUGCCGCGUGAGUGAAGAAGGCCUUCGGGUUGUAAAGCUCUUUUGUCAGGGAAGAAACGGUGAGAGCUAAUAUCUCUUGCUAAUGACGGUACCUGAAGAAUAAGCACCGGCUAACUACGUGCCAGCAGCCGCGGUAAUACGUAGGGUGCAAGCGUUAAUCGGAAUUACUGGGCGUAAAGCGUGCGCAGGCGGUUUUGUAAGUCUGAUGUGAAAUCCCCGGGCUCAACCUGGGAAUUGCAUUGGAGACUGCAAGGCUAGAAUCUGGCAGAGGGGGGUAGAAUUCCACGUGUAGCAGUGAAAUGCGUAGAUAUGUGGAGGAACACCGAUGGCGAAGGCAGCCCCCUGGGUCAAGAUUGACGCUCAUGCACGAAAGCGUGGGGAGCAAACAGGAUUAGAUACCCUGGUAAGUCCACGCCCUAAACGAUGUCUACUAGUUGUCGGGUCUUAAUUGACUUGGUAACGCAGCUAACGCGUGAAGUAGACCGCCUGGGGAGUACGGUCGCGAAGAUUAAAACUCAAAAGUUGAAAUUGACCGGCGNGAGAGNGCGAGGAGACACGAGGGAGAGG
rnacentral:rRNA from 1 species